CAAACGACUCUCGGCAACGGAUAUCUCGGCUCACGCAUCGAUGAAGAACGUAGCAAAAUGCGAUACUUGGUGUGAAUUGCAGAAUCCCGUGAACCAUCGAGUUUUUGAACGCAAGUUGCGCCCGAAGCCUUUUGGCCAAGGGCACGUCUGCCUGGGUGUCACAC
rnacentral:rRNA from 1 species